rnacentral:rRNA from 1 species
GACGAACGCUGGCGGCGUGCUUAACACAUGCAAGUCGAACGAAGUGGCGAACGGGUGAGUACUACGUGGUUAACCUGCCCUCCUUUAUGGGAUAGGCCUUGGAAACGGGGUCUAAUACCUAAUAAAGUGUGAUGUGCUCGCUGCCUAUCAGCUUGUUGGUGGGUUUCUGGCCUACCAAGUCGGUGACGGGUAGCCGGCCUGAGAGAGUGCACUGCCACAUGGGGACUGAGAUACGGCCCAGACUCGGAAGGGAGGCAGCAGGUGGGGAUAUUGAACAAGGGGCGAAAGCCUGAUGCAGCGACGCCGGGGGGGGGUUGAAGGCUUUCGGGUUGUAAACCUCUUUCGCGAUAGAACGGGUAGGUGGAGAAGAAGCGCCGGCUAACUACGUGCCAGCAGCCGCGGUAAUAC